AUGAAAAUAUUACAUAAUCCUUUACUGAACAGGCAGCAUUCUGUUAAGCAAAAUGUUGGCCGCGCAGAGAGAAGUUGUCUCAAGAUUACUGGAAAUAAAAUAAGUAAAUUUAAGAUGAUAAGCUCAGUAAUGUUUAGUGUAGGAACAGUUGAGUGUCCAGUACUGGAAACAAGGAUUUUAGGUUCAGUAAUCUCCAUAAAGCACCGGAGUGCCGAAGUGUUGAUCUUCAAUUCUUGUCGCGGGCGCGAAGUGCAAAAUCUGGAGGUACAGCGAGUUAAAGCCAAAAGUGAAGGAUACAGGUACAGAGUGUAA
rnacentral:rRNA from 1 species